CUAUGUCCGGGGAAUGCAAAAUUGUGGCAGGGAGCCUCUCUACCACCUACUGCUUCUUCCUGUGAAAGCAGCUUUCCCAUCCAAGCAAUUUACAUGGUUUUCUGACCUCUCUGUGACCAGGCUCUUGCAAAUUACUUAUUACCAGGAGGCCAGAACCCAGGCUUUAGUGUUCAGUAUUGGAAUCAGUUGGCAGGAAAAAAGCAAACACACACACAAAAAAAAAAAAAACACCGCAAGGAUGCUGUGAGAAAAAAAAAUGAGUGGGUUUUUCUUUGCAGGCUUCUUUAUGUUUAUGACCUGCCACUCUCCUGUUUUCUAUUAUUUUAGGUAUGUAGUCUUCUAUUCAUUCAGCCACACCAAAGACUCUACACUCCGCAGUAAGCUACAGACCAGUCUUUGUGUAGAAGCUAGAAGAUCUUGCCCAUCUGACUCCACUUGCUGUGGAGAAGGAAUGUUUAUUGCUCAGCUGGGUGAAAUUAUUAAUGUACCUCUCAGGCUGCAUUUUCAAAGGUGAACAUUGGCAGAAGAGAAAUGCAACACAUACGGUGCCGUUCCACUUGAUAAACCUGCAUUCUUGGGAGUCUCCUUCCCUGCUAGACUGGUAGGGUCAUGCUGCUUUUGUGAACUCUUGGUGGGAGUGGUCAGUACUGAACUGAAUAAUUCCCUUUUGAAUUAUAUCUUUAACAAAGCAAUCCUUGAAAAGGCCUGCUAGGUUUCG
rnacentral:lncRNA from 1 species